GGCCCGCGUGAAACCCUCUCCGCUGCCUCGACUGACUGUCGUUUCCGUGUCUUGAUUGUGGCCUCUGCCUCUCCCCCUUCCGAUUUCGUUCGACUUCUUUCUACGGUUACUAAGCGCCCACUGUGUGCCCUGGAAGGGACUAGACUCAGCAGGAAAAACAUCCAGGCAAGUGGAAAGCAUUUGCAUCAGCCCAGCAAUAAGAAGGACCAUAUUCUACUUGGGAAAAGGUAAAGACGUUUCAUAUGGAUGGAGGUGAGUUCAAGGGGGACAAGAAAUGGAACUUGCCAAGUAAGUGGAGGCUGGCUCUUAAAGAUUGUUCUUCAGGCAAUGAGGAGCCAUUGAUAAGAUGUUAGUUAGAGAGUGCUUAUGUUAAUUAUCAAUUUAUUAUUAAAAUACUUUGAAUAUUUUAGGAACAUAUUUCUUGUAUUUUGGUGGUCUUGAAGUCACAGGGCAGAGCUAGGAGUUAAUUUCAGUUCCAACUCAUGGUAUGACUUAGCAAGUGAUGUUUUAUUUUAGGUCCUUAGUUUUCUCAUCUCUAAAUGAAGAAAAAGAAAAGCAAGGGAUUGGCAAGCUUAACAUGCUCAAUAGUUUUUCUUUGCUGAACUAUUCCCAGAGGGUCAACCAGCCUUCAAUAGGUGUGAUUAAUAAAUUACAAAAGAUAAAUAGAGUGCCUUGAAAGAUUUUAUGUUCCUUAUUUAAAUUUUACCUGUCUUUACAGCCUGCCAGGAAACCUGUCAUUCAACCCUUUGCAAUAAAACAGCUCCUCAUGAAUGAAGCAAAAUAAAUCAGAAGUCGUGGGCUUUUAAAUUCACUAAAUGAAAGCCCAGCAUGCAUGCAGCCUCCCUCCAAAUUAAUCACCAGAUUAAAUGCAAGAUGUGCACACCAAAUCAAUAGCUUGUGACAGAGACCUCCUGCCUGUGCUUCAGGAAAAUUCCAUUUCCUUUCAGAUGUUGUAGCUUGAAAUGUCAGGAAGUUUCCAUUCAUCACCCGCC
rnacentral:sRNA from 1 species